ACUUACCACCUAAAAGAGCCGCACGCUCAUCCCAGUAUCGACAUUUUUAUACUACAUAACACAUUGAUUUAUACCUAAAAUAAUUUUUACCGUACCAUUUAUUUUUGCCAUUUUUGCUGAAUUUGGCAUCAUUUAAAAUACUUAUCGCAAACAAAUUUUAGACCCAGACUUUCCAUACAUUUUAUUUGUACUAUGGCACUGCUGACAGAUGAUAGAAUUUGUGUUUAGUAAAUAAUAUUUUACUUUUAUAUUUUAA